rnacentral:misc_RNA from 1 species
UAGUAACUUGGAGGCAUGCCUGUCUGAGCGUCGUUUAAAACCCAUGGACCCGAGAGGGUCUGUAUUGGGCAUCGCCCCUGCGGGCGUAGCUCGAAGACAUUGGUCUUACAUGCGGGCGAGCUCCUUUUGGACGGACCGCGUCGAGACCUUAAAGCAUCUGACUUGACCUCAGAUCAGGUAGGACUACCGCCUGAACUUAA